UACGUAGGGUGCAAGCGUUGUCCAGAAUUAUUGGGCGUAAAGAGCUUGUAGGCGGUUUGUCGCGUCUGCUGUGAAAUUUCGGGGCUCAACCCCGAACUUGCAGUGGGUACGGGCAGACUAGAGUGUGGUAGGGGAGACUGGAAUUCCUGGUGUAGCGGUGAAAUGCGCAGAUAUCAGGAGGAACACCGAUGGCGAAGGCAGGUCUCUGGGCCAUAACUGACGCUGAGAAGCGAAAGCAUGGGGAGCGAACAGG
rnacentral:rRNA from 1 species